AAGAUUGAAUGUCGUGUUGAAAGUCUUUUCAGUCUGCAUGAUAAGAGAACAUGUUAAGUUUUUAGUUUCACUGUGUUAAUCUUGUUUGUUACACUGUCAAAGUUCCGACCUGUUAACCUUCAUUAUGAAAGAAGUUGUUUUGAUAUGAAAGAAUCUAAAAAAUACUUUAUAUCGUUUCAUAAAGUUCUGUUUGUGCGUAGAAGGUUAGCUAGCUAAACCUGGAGCUCUAACAGAGCUAAAGCUUAUUUAGCUGUUUUACAUGUCACUAUUCUUUUAUCUAUGUGAGCUGUGUGUGUGUAUGUGUGUCUAGGGCAUAUCUCGCUGACCGUUAGUCAGACUGACCUCAGAUUUUGCAUGUGUCUUGCACAUGGUACGAAGGUGUGCAUCCUCGAUUUUAAAGAUUUUUGAAUUCAUUUUUCAUGAUAUCAUUAUUUAAGUAGGAUGUGUUGCGGCAUUGCACUGUUCCAGAUCGGAGGCCUUUUAGGGGAGCUCCGCGCCAUUGUGUGAUAGGCCUACACCUGGUCAGUAACACAAUUCACUCUGGAUGUCCACCCUGACUCAUCUCAUCUAAAAAUGGCUGAGCUCGAACAGGCAAUGAAGGUCGUCAGGGAAACCUUCAACAAGUACUCUGAAAUUGGAGAGAAAGACGUUUUGACCAAGAGUGAACUUACUCGCCUGCUCUUGACUGAGCUUACUCUGCCGGCUGAAAGCAAAUCUGAAGUUGAAGCUUACGUCAAAGAGAUGGACGUCAACAGUGACGGUUAUGUUACUUUCAAGGAGUUUGCCAAAUAUCUAGUAGAACUCAUUGUGAUGUAUUCUUCAGAAUAAAUUGUGUGGCCACGUUGCCUCUGAACCCUUUUGCCUUGUUUAAUUUGUUCUCAAUGAAAAAUAAGUGAUCCAACUUGCAGCAACAGUUACAUGUGGAACACACAAGUCAUUAUCACAUGUUCUGUGAAAGGAAAACUUG